UGGGGAAUCUUCCGCAAUGGACGAAAGUCUGACGGAGCAACGCCGCGUGAGUGAUGACGGUCUUCGGAUUGUAAAGCUCUGUUAAUCGGGACGAAUGGUUUGUGUGCAAAUAGUGCAUAGACAUGACGGUACCGGAAUAGAAAGCCACGGCUAACUACGUGCCAGCAGCCGCGGUAAUACGUAAGGUCCGAGCGUUGUCCGGAAUCAUUGGGCGUAAAGGGUACGUAGGCGGAUAAGCAAGUUAGAAGUGAAAUCCUAUAGCUCAACUAUAGUAAGCUUUUAAAACUGCUCAUCUUGAGGUAUGGAAGGGAAAGUGGAAUUCCUAGUGUAGCGGUGAAAUGCGCAGAUAUUAGGAGGAAUACCGGUGGCGAAGGCGACUUUCUGGCCAUAUACUGACGCUGAGGUACGAAAGCGUGGGUAGCAAACAGG
rnacentral:rRNA from 1 species